CAGUAGCCACGGUAAUACGUAGGUGGCAAGCGUUGUCCGGAAUUAUUGGGCGUAAAGGGCUCGCAGGCGGUUUCUUAAGUCUGAUGUGAAAGCCCCCGGCUCAACCGGGGAGGGUCAUUGGAAACUGGGAAACUUGAGUGCAGAAGAGGAGAGUGGAAUUCCACGUGUAGCGGUGAAAUGCGUAGAGAUGUGGAGGAACACCAGUGGCGAAGGCGACUCUCUGGCCUGUAACUGACGCUGAGGAGCGAAAGCGUGGGGAGCGAACAGGAUUAGAUACCCCCGUAGUCCCUGUCUCUUAUAC
rnacentral:rRNA from 1 species